GCGCAGUGGGCGGCACAGGCUGCUUCCUCCAGGCUGCAGCUUGCUUGCGCGGGAACCGUCCACCCCUGGGCGUGAGUCGGGGCGUUGCCCUGAAGGGGAGAGUCCCUGGAAGAUGAGGGGUGGGGUCCGUGGUGGCUCCGACUGGUCUAGGCUGGAUUUUGCAGGCGCAGACCGCUGGUGAGGACCAAGUGGUGUGCUGGUGCCUGAGCUUCUGCAGCAGCUUCCAGAACCGACCUGCGAUGCAUCCGGCGGUGCCCUGUUGACGUGGGCUGUGGUGGAGAGCUGAGCUACUGGGAUGGGCCAACCCUCCAAGGGCUCCUUUCCUCCCAGCAAGGAUUGGCCUUUUUCUGCCGGUUCCCACUGUGCUCAUCAGCUGUGGUAUGGCCUGUGUCACAGCAUCCCCUCUGAUCUCCUGGUUUCUGGUCUUCCACAGUGCUGCCAGGCAGGUAUUUAUGACUACAUAGCUUUCCUGUUUAAAAUCCUUCAAGGACAUAGUCUCUUCAGGGAUUUGGUGGCAUUUUGUACAUGCCUCUAUUUUAGCAAUUUAUCACACAGGACAGCAGUGAUUCAUUGAUAAGCCUACCUUUCACACAAGCAUAUGAACUUCACUAGGAUGGCAUCUUGCCUCAAAAAAAAUUUCUUUUCUUCCUUCUUCCGUCUUCCUUCUUCCUUCUUUCUUCUUCUUUCUUCUUUCUUCUUCUUCCCUUGACUAGCUAGCCUGACACAGAGCAUGUUGUUGGCUGAUUAAAUGAAUAACAAAAUCAUAGUAAGGAACUCUAUUUGUCAUCCUUAUUCUGUUUUGAUACACGCAUGUGUGGCCCCUGGCUCUCCUUGCCCUGCCUCUGAUCAUGAGGCUGAGGAGUGGCCUGACUUGCUGUUGGAAUUAACUAUUGCUUUUAAGGUAUAUUUACAUAUUUGAAACAUUGAACACCUCUACGGGGAUUGGUCGACAGCUGGGAGCAAGAAGGAGAUCUGGGCUAGAGAUGGAGGAGUGUGAGGGGGUGUGGUGCCUGAGAGGACAGGAGUGUAUGGACAAAGUGUCACUAGGAAGGUUCCAGUGACACAAUUAGACCUCACAACCAAGGCAGUGCUGGUCUUUGGUUGCACCAACAGCAUCUUCUCAUGGCCCAUUUAGACACACGUGCUCUGUUUUGCUUACCUUGAACAAAACAAUUCAAAUUGAUAAAUUGUUGACUUAAAAGUUCUAGUUCUUUUUCACUGAGAACACAUGCAUGUGAUACAAAGAAAUUCAAAUAGUACAAAAGAACUAAGAAAACUUAUUUUAUGUAUGGCAAGCAAAAAUCUCUCAUUUUAUUGUGUCUAUUUCCACUUCCUUAGUUUUUCUUUUUCCUCACUUAAAAUACCUCUUUCAUCCCAAAGUUCAAAAUUAUUUUAUUUUCCAAAUAAUUGGUCUACGAUCAUCAUAGUUUUGAACACUCUGCUGAUCAGAGUUUAAAGAGGUCAUAUCUAAAGCAUGGUUAAGCAUUUGUUCAUAUGUCUGUGUAUCUGUCUUAACCCUGGGUAUACAGAGCUCAUCAGUACACUCGCCAAAAGCAGCAGUGAGCAGCUGGUGCAGGAUGUGUGCCAGAAAUUAGUGUGGUAGGUGAAUCAGAUGUCCAAUAUUCAUGCCACGUGGUUGCAAAGUGAAGAUAAAUGGAAACCUUCAGGAUGGUUUGUCUGAGCCAACUCCUUUUCAUCUCUUGCUGGCAAAUGAUUUCAGUAGGAAAAGAAUCUAAGAUUGAACAAAAUGAUGAUUCUCUUGUGUGUUGACAUGGCAGCUUUGCUGAGGCUGCUAUGAGUUUAGAAGAAAAGGUGAAGUUAUUGCGAUAUCUAAAUAAGCCCCAGUUGUAUAAGAUCUCCAGACACACAUAUUUUCAUGAAAUGCUGAUAUUUCAAAAAUGUAGUGUGAGGGAACUUUCAUAUUUUAUUUUAUUUUUAUUUAUUUAUUUUUUUUACUUUCAUAUUUUAUAUUUAUAUAUUGUGAAUCGGGGUGAGGAUGAUUGCUUAAUAUUUACUCCAUUUUGAAAGGAUGUUGACAAUUUUAGCAUUUCUUAAUGUGGUCUCUAUUGUGUUAUUUAAAAACACUUUGGAAAUAGAGAAAGGAUUCCAGACUGGAGACAUGCUAAAGCUUUGGGGAAAAUCUAGUGUUUCAAACGUGUGCAAUAUAAAUAAAUCAAAAUAAGAUAUUUUGAGACA
rnacentral:lncRNA from 12 species